GGGAAGGGUGGGGGAGGGCUGGCUUUUGAGGGCAGUGGGUUCCCAUGCCCAGCCCCAUGAAGGACGGGGUUCACGGAAGACCCCAGUAUCGCAAGUCUGUAGCCAGCACGGGGGGCCUGCAUUCCUUCUGCAGGAGAAGCACGAAAGAGCUAUUCUUCUCAAUUCGCCAAGGAGGAAACUGAGGCCCAGCAGGGCAGGAGAGCCCGGGUUACAGCGCAGGCGGGAGGCUGAGCUCAGCCUCAAGUCCCAUCUGCACGCCCAAGGUGCGGCCCCCCUUAGUAGGAGCCGCGACUAAGGGUGACGCUGUUUCUCGGCCCAGGGGGCAAAAGAGCCCGACCGGAAGCUGCUCUUGGAAGACAGAAGCCCAUGUGCAGGGAAUGUGCCAGUGCCCAGCAGAUGGUGCAUUUCAUUAUGGGAAGCUCCGGGCCUCCCAGCUGGCCUGUUUGGCCACAGUGUUGCUCUUCAGUGUCAUUUGAUGGCAUGUGCCAACAGAUACAGUAUACGUGCUGCCGAAGCGAGCACUUUGCGGACAUUUUAAUAGUCACCGGGGAUGCAAGCAUCAGGUGACAAGGAGCGCAGACCAACAAGCUGUCAGGAGGGUGGCUUCCUGGUAGGAGGCAGCACAGGGGAGCCCUUUUCAACGAUAUUUUAUUUCCAUCCCGUUGGCAUUGCCCACAGGGAAGAAUACCUCAGAGCACGGGCCAAGCUGUCUGCAACUCAGUGGGAAGUUGAACAAACCAAACUUUACAAAGGGAGGAAGAACGAGGUGCCCCAAAUUAUGGAGACACAGGGACUGGUUACCAAGACCAUGGACCGGAACAAGAACCUCGCUCCCCAUUAACCAACCGCAUGGCCUUGGUGUGCCUAGAUUUCCUCUUUUGUAAAGUGAGGCUGAAGUGUCUCCCUUUGGAUGGUAGGCGAGGACCAAGAGGCCCAGCGCCUGGCGGUGGUGAGUCCAGGCCAGGGAGGCAAAGGUCUCUUCUAAUAAAGGAGCUCUAGCGUGGGGCACAGUGGAUGUCUCAGCACAGUGGAUGUGUGGGGCUGGAUCAUCCUCUGUGGUGGGAGCUGGCUUGUGCAGUGUGGGACAUUUUGCAGGCACCCUGG
rnacentral:lncRNA from 1 species